rnacentral:rRNA from 1 species
AAGUCGUAACAGGUAGCCCGUCGGGUGGGGAUUAGUGGCGAACGGGUGAGUAACACGUGGGCAAUCUGCCCUGCACUCUGGGACAAGCCCUGGAAACGGGGUCUAAUACCGGAUACUGACCUGCCAAGGCAUCUUGGCGGGUCGAAAGCUCCGGCGGUGCAGGAUGAGCCCGCGGCCUAUCAGCUUGUUGGUGAGGUAAUGGCUCACCAAGGCGACGACGGGUAGCCGGCCUGAGAGGGCGACCGGCCACACUGGGACUGAGACACGGCCCAGACUCCUACGGGAGGCAGCAGUGGGGAAUAUUGCACAAUGGGCGAAAGCCUGAUGCAGCGACGCCGCGUGAGGGAUGACGGCCUUCGGGUUGUAAACCUCUUUCAGCAGGGAAGAAGCGAAAGUGACGGUACCUGCAGAAGAAGCGCCGGCUAACUACGUGCCAGCAGCCGCGGUAAUACGUAGGGCGCAAGCGUUGUCCGGAAUUAUUGGGCGUAAAGAGCUCGUAGGCGGCUUGUCGCGUCGGUUGUGAAAGCCCGGGGCUUAACCCCGGGUCUGCAGUCGAUACGGGCAGGCUAGAGUUCGGUAGGGGAGAUCGGAAUUCCUGGUGUAGCGGUGAAAUGCGCAGAUAUCAGGAGGAACACCGGUGGCGAAAGCGGAUCUCUGGGCCGAUACUGACGCUGAGAGCGAAAGCGUGGGGAGCGAACAGGAUUAGAUACCCUGGUAGUCCACGCCGUAAACGCUGGGCACUAGGUGUGGGCAACAUU